AAGACCAACCCGCAGCUAGCUGCACGUCAGGCGAGGGCCCGAGGCUGCCGACCGGGCCUGUGCCGGCACCAUGCGCGGCCUCAGCGCUGUCCUGUCCGCUCUCUCGCUCCUGCUGUUGGAGCCGGCGGAGGCUUUCGUAGUCUGCUCCUUCGUGGUUGCCGAUUGAAAGAGCUUUUUAGAGACAGAAAAUCCAUGUAGAGAGCAUCUACUGAAUUCGCUUAAUUAACCUUCUCUGCGUCUUCAACAAAAAUUAAGUCAGGUAGAGUGUAUCCAUGGGGAAAUAAGUUUCAGCCCAAUCGCACAAACCUUUGGCAGGGGAAAUUUCCAGAACAGGACACAGCAGAAGAUGGUUAUCAUGGUGUAUCCCCUGUGAAUGCAUUUCCACCACAGAAUCACUAUGGCAUCUAUGACAUGCUGGGAAAUACAUGGGAAUGGACUGAAUUGGAGUACGUUCCAGCAGGCCCACCGGUAAAGGUUGAAUCUCAGAAGAUUUAUGUUCUGCGUGGAUCCUCAUGGAUUGACAGUGUGGAUGGACUUGUGAAUCAUAAAGCACGGGUCACAAGCAGAAUGGGAAACACCGCAGACUCGGCUUCCGUUUUUAGAAUGGGAAACACCGCAGACUCGGCUUCCCACAUGUAUCUCAAGUAUCUCAAGUAUAUCCUUCAAGUAUCUCCUUCAUAUUUAAUAAAUGUAUAUCUUUCUUUCAUAUUUGAUAACCAUUUUGACAUAUUAAAUAAAUUGAAUUUUGUUUGACUA